rnacentral:rRNA from 1 species
GACGAACGCUGGCGGCGUGCCUAAUACAUGCAAGUCGAACGCAGUGGGGACGGGUGAGUAACACGUGGGUAACCUCCCAUCAGAGGGGAUAACACUUGGAAACAGGUGCUAAACCGAUACUGAUGGAUGGACCCGCGGUGCAUCAGCUCGUUGGUGAGGUAACGGCUCACCAAGGCCACGAUGCCUAGCCGACCUGAGGGGGGGAUCGGCCACACUGGGACGGAGAACGGGCCCAGACUCCGAGGGGAGGCAGCAGGAGGGAAUCUUCGGCAAGGGACGAAAGUCUGACCGAGCAACGCAGCGUGAGUGAAGAAGGUUUUCGGAUCGUAAAACUCUGUUGUUAGAGAAGCGGUAUCUAACCAGAAAGCCACGGCUAACUACGUGCCAGCAGCCGCGUAAUUC